UGGGCGGUCAACUGGCGCGGGCCUGGCGGAACGGGGCGGCGCAAGGAGACCGCGAGGCGACCGGGAGCGGCUGGGACCCCGGCGGCGCGCCCCUCGGCCGGGCGGGGAGCCGCGCCAGUCGGAGUCCCAGGCCGCGCGCGGCCUGCCUCGCUCUCAGCGUCCAUCUGUCCGGAGUGCAGCCAGCGGACAUGACCGAUCCACCAGGGGCGCCGCCGCCGCCGGCGCUCGCAGGCCGCGGGUGAAGAAGGUUCGUUCCCGCUCGACGCAGAGCGAGAAGGUGACCCAGGCCGAGGAAGCGCCCCGGGCCAAGGAGGAGACCCGGGCGGAAGAGGUGGCACCGACUGGAGAGGUGACCCAAACCCAGGAAAUG
rnacentral:other from 1 species